AUACGGAGGAUCCGAGCGUUAUCCGGAUUUAUUGGGCUUAAAGGGAGCGUAGGCGGACGCUUAAGUCAGUUGUGAAAGUUUGCGGCUCAACCGUAAAAUUGCAGUUGAUACUGGGUGUCUUGAGUACAGUAGAGGCAGGCGGAAUUCCGUGUGUAGCGGUGAAAUGCUUAGAUAUUAGGAAGAAAUCCGGUUGCGAAGGCAGCCUGCUGGACUGUAACUGUCGCUGAUGCUCGAAAGGGUGGGUAUCAAACAGGAUUAGAUACCCUGGUAGUCCACACAGUAAACGAUGAAUGCUCGCUGUUUGCGAUAUACAGUAAGCGGCCAAGCGAAAGCGUUAAGUAUUCCACCUGGGGAGUACGCCGGCAACGGUGAAACUCAAAUGAAUUGACGGGG
rnacentral:rRNA from 1 species